GACGAACGCUGGCGGCGUGCUUAACACAUGCAAGUCGAACGGAAAGGCCCUGCUUUUGUGGGGUGCUCGAGUGGCGAACGGGUGAGUAACACGUGAGUAACCUGCCCUUGACUUUGGGAUAACUUCAGGAAACUGGGGCUAAUACCGGAUAGGAGCUCCUGCUGCAUGGUGGGGGUUGGAAAGAUUCGGCGGUUGGGGAUGGACUCGCGGCUUAUCAGCUUGUUGGUGGGGUAGUGGCUUACCAAGGCUUUGACGGGUAGCCGGCCUGGGAGGGUGAACGGCCACAUUGGGACUGAGAUACGGCCCAGACUCCUACGGGAGGCAGCAGUGGGGAAUAUUGCACAAUGGGCGGAAGCCUGAUGCAGCAACGCCGCGUGCGGGAUGACGGCCUUCGGGUUGUAAACCGCUUUCGCCUGUGACGAAGCGUGAGUGACGGUAAUGGGUAAAGAAGCACCGGCUAACUACGUG
rnacentral:rRNA from 1 species